ensembl:lncRNA
AUUGGAGCCAUUACCUUCCAAACUGUUACUAUUUUGUGGGUUGUAAUCCCUUCACCUUCCGAAAAAGAUAUGAGAAAUAAAGCAUACUCCUACAAUACCGUGUUAACUCUAAGCACCAGUCAUAGAACCACAGAGCCAUAGAACCAUAGAAUCACAGAACCACUAAGAUUGGAAACGACCUCCAUGAUCAUCCAGUCCAACCUUCUACCUACCACCAAUAUUUUCCCACUAAACCACGUCCCUCAAGUACAGCAUCUGAAUGUUUCUUGAGCACCUCCAAGGACAGUGACUCCAUCAUCUCCCUAAGCAUCCUGUUACCAUGCUUGACAACUCUCUUGGAGAAAAAGUAUUUCCUAACAUCCGACCUGAAUCUCAUCUGAAUCUCCCCUGGUGCAAUGUGAGGCCCUUCCCUCUAGUCCUAUCACUAGUUACAUGGGAGAAGAGGCCAACCUCCAUCUCACCACAACCUUCUUUCAAGUUGUUGUAGAGAGUGAUAAGGUCUACCCUGAGCCUCUUCUUCUCCAGACUAAAUAUUCCCAGAUCCCUCAGCCACUCCUCGUAAGACUUGCGCUCCAGACCCCUUACCAGCUUCACUGCCCUUCUCUGAACAUGCUCCAGGGCCUUAAUGUCUUUCUUGGAAUGAGGAGCCCAAAAUUGAACUCAGUACUCAGUACAAAGCGUGAUCUCACCGGUGCCAAGUACAGGGGAAUUAUCACUUCCCUGCUCCUGCUGGCAACACUAUUUCUGAUACAAGCUAGGAUUCCAUUGGCCACCUUGGCCACCUGGUCACACUGCUGGCUCACGUUCAUUUGAGAGUCAAUCAAUACCCCCAGGUCCAUUUCCUCUACACAGUCUUCCAGCCACUCUGCCCCAAGCCUGUAGUGUCGCCUGAGGUUGUUGUGGCCAAAGUGCUGGACCCAGCACUUGGUCUUGUUGAACUUCAUCCCACUGGCCUCAGCCCAGCUACCCAGCCUGUCCAGAUUGCUCUAUAGGGCCUUCCUACCCCCAGGCAGAUCAACGCUUCUCCCCAGCUUGGUGUCAUCUGCAAACUUACUGAGGGUACACUCAAUGCCCUCAUCCAGGUCAUCAGUAAAGAUAUUGAAAAGGACAAGCCCCAGUACCAACCCCUUGGGAGCACCACUCAUGACUGGUCAACAGCUAGAUGUGACUCCAUUUACCACUGCACUCUGAGGCCAGCCAUCCAGCAAGGUGUGUAC